UACGAAGGGGGCUAGCGUUGUUCGGAAUUACUGGGCGUAAAGCGCGCGCAGGCGGCUAUCCAAGUCAGUGGUGAAAGCCCGGAGCUCAACUCCGGAACUGCCAUUGAAACUGUUUAGCUUGAGGACGAGAGAGGUGAGUGGAAUUCCCAGUGUAGAGGUGAAAUUCGUAGAUAUUGGGAAGAACACCGGUGGCGAAGGCGGCUCACUGGCUCGUAUCUGACGCUCAGGCGCGACAGCGUGGGAAUCAAACAGG
rnacentral:rRNA from 1 species